rnacentral:tRNA from 1 species
GUGGUUGUGGCUCAGUGGCAGAGCACUUGCCUAGCAUGUGUGAGACCCUGGGUUCGAUCCUUAGCACCACA